rnacentral:ncRNA from 1 species
AUAAGCUAGUUUAUAGUCGUGCAUGUUAGAAAUAGCAUGCUUAAAGAGCCUCGAAUUGCUGGAAAGUCCUUAGAGCCUUUUAAACCAAAGCAGAAGGAUGAAAUAAGCUUAAAUGUAAUGGUGGUUUAACCAUAAAAAUUAAAAGGAUUGGAUAACCAGCAGCCAAGUCUUGAAGAGAGAAAGGUCCAACGACUAGUGCAAAGGCACGUAGCAUUUAUUUUAGUUAUAUUUGCGAAGCGGGGCAUCCCAAACCGUAAAGGGCGGUGGGAGAAGAUAUAGUCUAUACCCACUGAAAAAUCAGU